UCGAGUGCGCGGUAGCAAUACUGGCGCACGGCGCACGGGUGCGUAACACGUGGGUAACCUGCCCUGCAAUGGGGGAUAACCCGCCGAAAGGCGGGCUAAUACCGCAUGACAUUCCGGUGGCUUCGGACGCCGGAAUCAAAGCCCGCAAGGGCGUUGGAGGAGGGGCCCGCGGCCGAUUAGCUAGUUGGUGAGGUAACGGCUCACCAAGGCUGUGAUCGGUAGCCGGUCUGAGAGGAUGGCCGGUCACACUGGAACUGAGACACGGUCCAGACUCCUACGGGAGGCAGCAGUGGGGAAUCUUGCGCAAUGGGCGAAAGCCUGACGCAGCGACGCCGCGUGGGGGAUGAAGCUUCUCGGAGUGUAAACCCCUUUCGACCCGGACGAAACGCCCGCAAGGGUUUGACGGUACGGGUAUAAGAAGCCCCGGCUAACUACGUG
rnacentral:rRNA from 1 species